UACGUAGGGUGCGAGCGUUGUCCGGAAUUAUUGGGCGUAAAGAGCUCGUAGGCGGUCUGGUAGGUCCGUUGUGAAAACUCGAGGCUCAACCUCGAGACGCCGAUGGAAACCAUCAGACUAGAGUCCGGAAGAGGAGAGUGGAAUUCCUGGUGUAGCGGUGAAAUGCGCAGAUAUCAGGAAGAACACCCGUGGCUAAGGCGGCUCUCUAGUACGGUACUGACGCUGAGACGCGAAAGCGUGGGGAGCGAACAGG
rnacentral:rRNA from 1 species